rnacentral:rRNA from 1 species
UACGUAGGUGGCAAGCGUUGUCCGGAAUUAUUGGGCGUAAAGCGCGCGCAGGCGGCCUCUUAAGUCUGAUGUGAAAGCCCCCGGCUCAACCGGGGAGGGCCUUGGAAACUGGGAGGCUUGAGUAUAGGAGAGAAGAAGUGGAAUUCCACGUGUAGCGGUGAAAUGCGUAGAGAUGUGGAGGAACACCAGUGGCGAAGGCGACUCUUUGGCCUAUAACUGACGCUGAGGCGCGAAAGCGUGGGGAGCAAACAGG